GAAAAAACAAUGCUGGUUUGACCAUACUAUAAUUAAGGUUACAAACUCAAAACUCUUGAAACCCUAAAAAGAACACAAGAAGAUCAGAGGCGACCUUGCUGCUGACCUGACCGUUCCAUCGAAGGGGAGUGCAGAGGACUUGAGGAAAGCAUGUGUUGGUCCAGAAUCCAGAUCCUGUUUGUCUCUGUUCUGGAGGCCAGAAGUCCAAAAUCAGUUUCACUGGGCUAAAGUCCAGUUAUCAGCAGAACUGGUCCCUUCUGGAGGUGCUGAGGAACAUCAAGAUCUGACCUACAUGGAUUGCUGCAAGAACAAAGGAUUCCAAGAAAUUUGCAACAACCAACCACACCCUCUCCCCUUUUAGUCUGAAUUCUAGCUGGGGUAAGGUGGUUCUUUGGGACACUAGUCCACCAUCUUCUUGGUCUACCGGCUUUCUGAAUAAAGUUGCUAUUCCUUGCCCCAACACCUCGUCUGUUGAUUUACUGGCCCUGUCCUGCAGUGAGCAGUAUGAACUUGGACUUGGUAACAAGGACACCUGGGAAAGCAGUCAAGCAAGGACUUUUGUAAUAUUCUAAUGGAAAAAAAUGGAGAAAUAUGGGCUGUAUAACAGCUCUUUUAGGAGUAUUCCAAACAAAAUGAAUGCUUAUUCUCCGAAAGUCCUAAUUAAUAAAAGGAUUGAUAUUGACCUAAAAGGAGGUUUUCAGACCAUGUUGUGUAGCUCUGAUUUGAGCUCUGUACUGCUUAAUAGUUAAUCAUGACUUGAAGAUACAAAAAGUAAUUAAAUUUGAAGAUGACACAAAACUGGAGGACAAAGUUAAAAAU